CGGCGUUGGCAGUAUCUUGCUCAGUGUGUUUGUACUCGUAGAUCUAGGUACUUCACUUGGUAGAGUCUGAGACUUGAAAAAUCCUCCAUGUUUCUCAAAAUGUGUCCUACUCAUAGAGACAAGGCAGAGAUCAAGUGCAUGGGUCCUGUUGGUGGAAAACACCAACAGAACCAAAAGUAUAUUUAUUCUUCUCUAUCCUUAAGCAUAGGGAGCAAGACAAAGUUGAUGGGUGAUAAGUUCAUG
rnacentral:lncRNA from 1 species